GUUUGCUUCAUUAAAGGGUUACGCCAACCACAACGACCAUUUCUGCUUUUAGAAGUGGUUAUGGUGCAAGCAAUCUGUAUGUGCAGCGUUUUAGCUCUGCCUAUACAGGGAAAUCUGUGAUUGUGUACCUAGGUGUAGUUACAUCUAUGGCACACAUGACUUAGCCUGUUCCAGAUUGACUAACGUGAGUCCUGUGCAAAAAGUACGACCAUUGUUGGCUUGCACUGGCUCUGGCGACAGAUAUACUAAG